AAUCCAUAGGUUAAUGAGGCGAACCGGGGGAACUGAAACAUCUAAGUACCCCGAGGAAAAGAAAUCAACCGAGAUUCCCCCAGUAGCGGCGAGCGAACGGGGAGGAGCCCAGAGCCUGAAUCAGCAUGUGUGUUAGUGGAAGCGUCUGGAAAGGCGCGCGAUACAGGGUGACAGCCCCGUACACAAAAGCGCAUGUGCUGUGAGCUCGAUGAGUAGGGCGGGACACGUGGUAUCCUGUCUGAAUAUGGGGGGACCAUCCUCCAAGGCUAAAUACUCCUGACUGACCGAUAGUGAACCAGUACCGUGAGGGAAAGGCGAAAAGAACCCCGGCGAGGGGAGUGAAAAAGAACCUGAAACCGUGUACGUACAAGCAGUGGGAGCCCCACCACCAAAGCAUUUGCUGUACCGCGUUGACGGAGCGAAGCGACGUCAA
rnacentral:rRNA from 3 species